UGCUUUUAUAGAUUCCGGCACAGCUGCCUCCUCAUUGGCUCUCACCUCAUCAUCAGUUGCUGCUUCUACUACUACUUCUAAUUAUGCAAAUUCCAUGUGGGGGGCAAGCUCAGGCAGCCAGGCCUCCUCUCAGGGCAGGGAGAAGGUGAUUGUUGAUGGCAAUGACCUAGAGGAGUGGCCUAGUAUUGCUGGCAGUGAUGGAGGGAGCAGCGGCAACAACGGAAUGCCUGUGAAUAGCAUUAGUGCCUCUGGCAACCAAUCCUCACCCACUUCCUCGUUCUCUUUGCCCAAUGAAUGUAUGCAGUCGUCCAGCAGUUCAGCGUGGGUGACGGCUGCCUCCCAGGGUCAUCUUGGAGGAGGUAUUGCAGUAACUGCAGCUGGGCCUCUGCUACAACAGUCCUCCUCACUUUCCAAAGCCCCCGCUGUGCCAGGGAGCCAUGAUGCCAGUGGCUCCGUUGAUGGCAGCAGUGGGAUUCCAGGUGCCAACUUCAAUCCAAAUGCCAACCCUUCAGCCUGGCCUGCACUGGUGCAGCAGGAUGGCCCCGCUGCUGUAGGUGAAGGAGGUCAGUCUUCCUUUCACCAUCAGGGCCCUGGCGGGUCUGCCAACAACUCUGCUUCCCUGGGGGCAGCUGGUGUCCUGGGGGGUCACCCAUCUUUAUCUGUGAAUCAAUCAAACACCCAUCAGCACCAACUUCACCAAAUGCAAUCCAGAGACAGAGAAAUGGGUGGAGGGAAUUGGGACAGUAAAUCAGCGGGACCAAAAAUUGCGGGGGGAGAAGGGAUAGGGGGAGGAAUGGACCAUGGUGCGGGAGGAAGUGGGAUGAGUGAAGAGCACAGCCUUGUCUCCUCAUGGAGAGGCCAGCCUUCUUACCCUGCAGCUAACUCCAAAACGGGUGCCUCAAGGACUGAUGGUUGGGAGAGUGGAGGAACUUGCACAGGGGUAUUUGGAGCUGCAGAAGGGGAUAAUGGGACUUCAGGUUGGGGUUAUCAAAGUUCCACAAGUGGGGUUAAUGUUUGGGGUAGUGCUGGAAAUGGGGGCAACAUGAGUCAAACCUCUGGG
rnacentral:lncRNA from 1 species